rnacentral:misc_RNA from 1 species
GAUGAAGAACGCAGCGAAAUGCGAUAAGUAAUGUGAAUUGCAGAAUUCAGUGAAUCAUCGAAUCUUUGAACGCAUAUUGCGCUCUCUGGUAUUCCGGAGAGCAUGCUUGUUUGAGUAUCAGUAAACACCUCAACUCCCUUUUCUUUUUUGAAAUUGGAGCUGGACUUGAGUGAUCCCAACGCUUUCUUCCAAGAAAGUGGCGGGUUGCUUGAAAUGAAGGUGCAGCUGAACUUUUCUCUGAGCUAUAAGCAUAUCUAUUUAGUCUGCCUAAAAAACAGAUUAUUACCUUUGCUGCAGCUAACAUAAAGGAGACUAGUUCUUGUGCUGACUGAUGCAGGAUUCACAGAGACAGCUUCGGCUGACUUUGUAAACUCGAUCUCAAAUCAAGUAAGACUACCCGCUGAACUUAAGCAUAUCAAUAAGCGGAGGA